GUCGAACGAGUUCUCGUUGAUGAUCGGUGCUUGCACCGAGAUUCAACCUGUAACGAGUGGCGGACGGGUGAGUAACACGUGGGUAACCUGCCCUUAAGUGGGGGAUAACAUUUGGAAACAGAUGCUAAUACCGCAUAGAUCCAAGAACCGCAUGGUUCUUGGCUGAAAGAUGGCGUAAGCUAUCGCUUUUGGAUGGACCCGCGGCGUAUUAGCUAGUUGGUGAGGUAAUGGCUCACCAAGGCGAUGAUACGUAGCCGAACUGAGAGGUUGAUCGGCCACAUUGGGACUGAGACACGGCCCAAACUCCUACGGGAGGCAGCAGUAGGGAAUCUUCCACAAUGGACGCAAGUCUGAUGGAGCAACGCCGCGUGAGUGAAGAAGGCUUUCGGGUCGUAAAACUCUGUUGUUGGAGAAGAAUGGUCGGCAGAGUAACUGUUGUCGGCGUGACGGUAUCCAACCAGAAAGCCACGGCUAACUACGUGCCAGCAGCCGCGGUAAUACGUAGGUGGCAAGCGUUAUCCGGAUUUAUUGGGCGUAAAGCGAGCGCAGGCGGUUUUUUAAGUCUGAUGUGAAAGCCCUCGGCUUAACCGAGGAAGCGCAUCGGAAACUGGGAAACUUGAGUGCAGAAGAGGACAGUGGAACUCCAUGUGUAGCGGUGAAAUGCGUAGAUAUAUGGAAGAACACCAGUGGCGAAGGCGGCUGUCUGGUCUGUAACUGACGCUGAGGCUCGAAAGCAUGGGUAGCGAACAGGAUUAGAUACCCUGGUAGUCCAUGCCGUAUACGAUGAAUGCUAG
rnacentral:rRNA from 1 species